rnacentral:rRNA from 1 species
AAUUUUCCACAAUGGACGAAAGUCUGAUGGAGCAACGCCGCGUGCAGGAUGAAUGCCUUCGGGUUNUAAACUGCUUUUAUAUGUGANGAUUAUGACGGUAGCAUAUGAAUAAGGAUCGGCUAAUUCCGUGCCAGCAGCCGCGGUCAUAUGGAAGAUCCAAGCGUUAUCCGGAAUUACUGGGCGUAAAGAGUUGCGUAGGUUGCAUAGUAAGUUGGUAGUGAAAUGACGUGGCUCAACCACGUGCCCAUUAUCAAAACUGCUAAGCUAGAGGGCGAGAGGGGUUACUGGAAUUCCCAGUGUAGGAGUGAAAUCCGUAGAUAUUGGGAGGAACACCGAUGGCGUAGGCAGGUAACUGGCUCGUCCCUGACACUAAGGCACGAAAGCGUGGGGAGCGACC